UACGUAGGCAGCAAGCGUUGUCCGGAAUUACUGGGCGUAAAGAGCUCGUAGGUGGUUUGUCACGUUGUUCGUGAAAACCCACAGCUCAACUGUGGGCGUGCGAGCGAUACGGGCAGACUAGAGUACUGCAGGGGAGACUGGAAUUCCUGGUGUAGCGGUGGAAUGCGCAGAUAUCAGGAGGAACACCGGUGGCGAAGGCGGGGUCUCUGGGCAGUAACUGACGCUGAGGAGCGAAAGCGUGGGGAGCGAACAGG
rnacentral:rRNA from 1 species